AAGCCCCGGCUAAAUACGUGCCAGCAGCCGCGGUAAUACGUAUGGGGCAAGCGUUAUCCGGAAUUAUUGGGCGUAAAGAGUGCGUAGGUGGUUACCUAAGCGCAAGGUUUAAUCUUGAGGCUCAACCUCAUUCUGCCUUGCGAACUGGGCUACUUGAGUGCAGGAGGGGAAAGCGGAAUUCCCAGUGUAGCGGUGAAAUGCGUAGAUAUUGGGAAGAACACCGGUGGCGAAGGCGGCUUUCUGGACUGUAACUGACACUGAGGCACGAAAGCGUGGGGAGCAAACAGGAUUAGAUACCCUGGUAGUCCACGCCGUAAACGAUGAGCACUAGUUGUUGGGUACGAAUGUAUUCAGUGACGCAGUUAACGCAAUAAGUGCUCCGCCUGGGGAGUACGGUGGCAACACUAAAACUCAAAGGAAUUGACGGGGACCCGCACAAGCAGCGGAGCAUGUGGUUUAAUUCGAAGCAACGCGAAAAACCUUACCAGGGCUUGACAUCCCUCUGACCGGAUCCUAACAGAUCCUUUCUUCGGACAGAGGUGACAGGUGGUGCAUGGUUGUCGUCAGCUCGUGUCGUGAGAUGUUGGGUUAAGUCCCGCAACGAGCGCAACCCUUGUCGUCAGUUACUAACAUUAAGUUGAGGACUCUGACGAGACUGCCGAGGUCAACUCGGAGGAAGGUGGGGAUGACGUCAAAUCAUCAUGCCCCUUAUGUUCUGGGCUACACACGUGCUACAAUGGUCGGUACAAUGAGAGGCAAUACAGUGAUGUGGAGCAAAUCACCAAAACCGAUCCCAGUUCGGAUUGCAGGCUGCAACUCGCCUGCAUGAAGUCGGAGUUGCUAGUAAUCGCGAAUCAGCAUGUCGCGGUGAAUGCGUUCCCGGGUCUUGUACACACCGCCCGU
rnacentral:rRNA from 1 species